rnacentral:tRNA from 1 species
GCCCUGGUGGCUCAAUGGUUGAGCACUUGGCUGCUAACCAAAAGGUUGGCAGUUUGAAACUGCCCAGUAGCU